UACAGGGGGGGCAAGCGUUGUUCGGAAUUACUGGGCGUAAAGGGCUCGUAGGCGGCCGGCUAAGUCCGACGUGAAAUCCCCAGGCUUAACCUGGGAACUGCGUCGGAUACUGGCGGGCUUGAAUCCGGGAGAGGGAUGCGGAAUUCCAGGUGUAGCGGUGAAAUGCGUAGAUAUCUGGAGGAACACCGGUGGCGAAGGCGGCCCACUGGUCCGGUACUGACGCUGAGGUGCGAAAGCGUGGGGAGCAAACAGG
rnacentral:rRNA from 1 species